UUGCCAAGACCUCCAGUGAUACCGGUAUAUUCGAUCCUCGGGCGCCGGUGAUGAGCUCCAUCGUGCGACACAGUCGCACGUCGUCACGUAAAUCGUGUCGUAUAUUCACCGGCUGGCCGGGAAUUUUCACGCAGACUCGCAAUAUAUGUCCUAAGAAAGGACAUCGCAAGAAUUUUCGUCACAUCUCUAAGAUAUUAUUCGUACACAUACAUAAUGCCGAAACCCAAGGUAAAGGAGCAAUGAGCUGCUAUAAUUUGGAAAUCGAAAAACAGCGAGAAAAUAAAGAAGGGAGAAGCUAGCCUCUGUGACAUUGUUGAUCUCACUUGCGUGCCGAAAAAGUAUCGCACAGAAGGCUGUAUUGCGUCUCUGAAGUGGGUAGACACAUCGACAGUAACUGAAACAAACAUCAGGUUCUUUGAGACAGUGGUUACCGCGAUGAAGUCGACGUAUAUACCUGAAAAUAUUGAAGCUUCAAAGGAAUCUUC